GACGAACGCUGGCGGCGUGCCUAAUACAUGCAAGUCGAGCGGACGAUUCGAAAGCUUGCUUUUGAAUCGUUAGCGGCGGACGGGUGAGUAACACGUGGGCAACCUGCCCUGUAGACGGGGAUAACACCGAGAAAUCGGUGCUAAUACCGGAUAACACGAAAUGUCGCAUGACGUUUCGUUGAAAGACGGCGCAAGCUGUCGCUACAGGAUGGGCCCGCGGCGCAUUAGCUAGUUGGUGAGGUAACGGCUCACCAAGGCGACGAUGCGUAGCCGACCUGAGAGGGUGAUCGGCCACACUGGGACUGAGACACGGCCCAGACUCCUACGGGAGGCAGCAGUAGGGAAUCUUCCGCAAUGGACGAAAGUCUGACGGAGCAACGCCGCGUGAGCGAAGAAGGCCUUCGGGUCGUAAAGCUCUGUUGUUAGGGAAGAACAAGUAACGUAGUAACUGGCGUUACUGUGACGUACCUAACGAGAAGCC
rnacentral:rRNA from 1 species